GUGCUUGCUUCUGCAGCACAUAUACUAAAAUUGGAAUGAUACAGAGAAGAUUAGCACGGCCCUGAGGAAAGGAUGACAUGCAAAUAUGAGAAGAAUUCCAUAUUAUA